GACGAACGCUGGCGGCGUGCUUAACACAUGCAAGUCGAACGAAGAGCGACGGAAUCUUGCUUCUAUCAAUCUUAGUGGCGGACGGGUGAGUAACGCGUAAUCAACCUGCCCUUCAGAGGGGGACAACAGUUGGAAACGACUGCUAAUACCACAUACGAUCUAAUCUCGGCAUCGAGGAUGGAUGAACGGUGGCCUCUACAUGUAAGCUAUCACUGAAGGAGGGGAUUGCGUCUGAUUAGCUAGUUGGAGGGGUAACGGCCCACCAAGGCGAUGAUCAGUAGCCGGUCGGAGAGGAUGGACGGCCACAUUGGGACUGAGACACGGCCCAGACUCCUACGGGAGGCAGCAGUGGGGAAUCUUGCGCAAGGGACGAAAGUCUGACGGAGCAACGCCGCGUGAGUGAGGACGGCCGUCGGGUUGGAAAGCUCGGUUAAUCGGGACGAAAGGCCUUCUUGCGAAUAGGGAGAAGGAUUGACGGUACCGGAAUAGAAAGCCACGGCUAACUACGUG
rnacentral:rRNA from 1 species